rnacentral:rRNA from 1 species
GCAAGUCGAACGAUCUCUUCGGAGAUAGUGGCAGACGGGUGAGUAACGCGUGGGAAUCUGCCCUCAGGAGGGGGAUAACGGCUGGAAACGGCCGCUAAUACCCCAUAUGCCGAGAGGUGAAAUGAAUUUCGCCUGAGGAUGAGCCCGCGUCUGAUUAGCUAGUUGGUGGGGUAAAGGCCUACCAAGGCGACGAUCAGUAGCUGGUCUGAGAGGAUGAUC